rnacentral:rRNA from 1 species
UGGGGAAUUUUGGACAAUGGGGGAAACCCUGAUCCAGCCAUCCCGCGUGUGCGAUGAAGGCCUUCGGGUUGUAAAGCACUUUUGGCAGGAAAGAAACGUCAUGGGUUAAUACCCCGUGAAACUGACGGUACCUGCAGAAUAAGCACCGGCUAACUACGUGCCAGCAGACGCGGUAAUACGUAGGGUGCAAGCGUUAAUCGGAAUUACUGGGCGUAAAGCGUGCGCAGGCGGUUCGGAAAGAAAGAUGUGAAAUCCCAGAGCUCAACUUUGGAACUGCAUUUUUAACUACCGGGCUAGAUUGUGUCAGAGGGAGGUGGAAUUCCGCGUGUAGCAGUGAAAUGCGUAGAUAUGCGGAGGAACACCGAUGGCGAAGGCAGCCUCCUGGGAUAACACUGACGCUCAUGCACGAAAGCGUGGGGAGCAAACAGG